ACCUUCCUUGUCAAUGGGAGCGAGACGUGUCAAUGAUCGUUUAGUGAGACCGUCCCUGCUGGAGCCCAGUUAAAAGCUCGCACCCGUAGAUAUUACGAGUGCAAUUUUUGGAGGU